rnacentral:tRNA from 1 species
ACCUGGCUGGCUCAGUCCGUAGAGUGUGAGACUCUUGAUCUCUGGGUUUUGAGUUCAAGUCCCAUGUUGGGCG